rnacentral:rRNA from 1 species
AUACAUGCAAGUCGAACGAGUUCUGAUUAUUGAAAGGUGCUUGCAUCUUGAUUUAAUUUUGAACGAGUGGCGGACGGGUGAGUAACACGUGGGUAACCUGCCCUUAAGUGGGGGAUAACAUUUGGAAACAGAUGCUAAUACCGCAUAAAUCCAAGAACCGCAUGGUUCUUGGCUGAAAGAUGGCGUAAGCUAUCGCUUUUGGAUGGACCCGCGGCGUAUUAGCUAGUUGGUGAGGUAACGGCUCACCAAGGCAAUGAUACGUAGCCGAACUGAGAGGUUGAUCGGCCACAUUGGGACUGAGACACGGCCCAAACUCCUACGGGAGGCAGCAGUAGGGAAUCUUCCACAAUGGACGCAAGUCUGAUGGAGCAACGCCGCGUGAGUGAAGAAGGCUUUCGGGUCGUAAAACUCUGUUGUUGGAGAAGAAUGGUCGGCAGAGUAACUGUUGUCGGCGUGACGGUAUCCAACCAGAAAGCCACGGCUAACUACGUGCCAGCAGCCGCGGUAAUACGUAGGUGGCAAGCGUUAUCCGGAUUUAUUGGGCGUAAAGCGAGCGCAGGCGGUUUUUUAAGUCUGAUGUGAAAGCCCUCGGCUUAACCGAGGAAGUGCAUCGGAAACUGGGAAACUUGAGUGCAGAAGAGGACAGUGGAACUCCAUGUGUAGCGGUGAAAUGCGUAGAUAUAUGGAAGAACACCAGUGGCGAAGGCGGCUGUCUGGUCUGUAACUGACGCUGAGGCUCGAAA